CCGUGCCCGCUACCAACCUGCUGCUGCUCGCCGUGUACAACGCCUGCCCGCACCGCGGACGACCGCUCAACAACCCACUUACCAAUGAACGGGUGGAGAUGGCGGACGGUCGUGCAGGACUGGAACCGUCAGCGAGCCGACUGGCAUGCUGGCGUAACCGGGUACCGCUACCAGGCCGCCCGCCGCACGUGCAGUGCUUCCCACAUAAUUACUCAUAUGAAGAAGGAUACCGGCAAUGUGGUCCCUGGCUGCCAGAUCCAGAAAGCAGUUCGAAGAAUCUCUUCAUAUCAAAAUUCUUACUUUUCUUAUCUUGCAUUAUUCUAUUGAUUUAAAAAAAAUUGUUAAUUAUAAAUCAGU